rnacentral:lncRNA from 1 species
UUUAUUUUUUUGUAGAGAUGGGGUUGUCCAGGCUGGUCUCAAACUCCUGAGCUCAAGCAAUGUGCCCGCCUUGGCUUCCCAAAGUGCUGGGAUUAUAGGCGUAAACCACUGCACGCAGCCUACCCUCUGCCUUUUUAAGAUGAUGUAUUUAUUUAAUUUUUGCCAUCAUUGGUGCUUCACCUUCCUGCGAAGGAAAUUCCAGAGCCUGUAUUUAAGCUACCUAGGCUUUUACACUCCCUUUAUUGCCUUUCCAAAUAGUAUCUCAUUUGGUGUACUCUAGUGUCCUAUACCUCUUGGAAACGAAAGAGGGCCCAACCUACAACUAAGAAGGGACAAACCUUGAACUAAGUAAGACCUUACACACCCAGAAAGAACACUGGGCCCUCCUUCUUCAGGGACAAUGCAGUAGCCACUUGGCUUGUGGAAUUUACUGAAGGCUAUUUCCUGUAACUUGCUAGUUAACUUAGUUUUGUAUUUCAGGCAGAGGUGCGCUCUGUAAUGUUGGGCCUUUGACUUCACAGUACUGGAGAGCUGUUCACACAGAUGUUUAGACCUUUCUCUCUCUCUCUCUUUUCUUCUUUCUCAACAACUCUUUCACAGAGGCAGUCAUUUUGAAAGGUUGAAAUAUUUGGCCUUUACCAAAGAGCUUUUUUUUUCCUUAAGCAAAAUCCUUUCAGAAAGAAACAAAUGGGGAAGGGCAGAUUAAGAAUGCAUAUGUCCCAAUCCACUUCUAUAGGAGUUUAAUCAUAUUCACAUGAGUAAAAUGAUGGAAGAACUCUUUAAGGUAAUCCUUUGGGAUAAAGGAUCCUGGGAAGUUCUCUCAGGUAAAGAAAGCUUACAGCAGAUUUGUAAUAUAUGUCUGGAGAGCUAUUUAUAAGAAAUUUAAGAGGAUUGUUUUGUUUUCCUUUAUUAAAGAUUUAAGCCUUUUUACUUUGCAAAAAGAAAACUACAAAAGUUUUAUAGAUAUAACUUUGCUAAUUUUUUAAACUUUUCUGAAACGAUUAGCUGUAGCCAAAUUAUGUGGUUACGUUUUGCUACAUUAGAAUUUGAAAAUGCAAUAUGUGUGGUAAAUCUACUGUUUGAAAUUUAUAAUGGUCUCUGAUAUGAUUCGAAUUUUGGUAACUUUUGAAAGUUAUUUUCCCCCUUUAGUCAUGGAUUUCUAUUUGUUUUUUAAUGUUAAUUUUUCUAGAAAGCAUCUGAAUUGACUAGGCUUUUCCUAUAUAAAAAACUCAAAACUUGUUAACUCUGUACUUUAAUAAAAUUUAAAAUUAAAACUGUGUUGUUUUUU